CCGGAAGUAGUGAUGCUGACACUCAAGAUGAGUGAGCUGAGCCCACAGAAGCCUCUUUAAUAUUUUAAAACAAAUAAAAGUGCUAAAAUAUUCUACAGAACAGCAACAAAAACCCAAAUCUGUGGCCAGGAAAUUUAGAAAUGUCUGAAUUUGUAUUAAAUGUCACACUGAAAACUGGACCUAGACCAAUCCUAUUGCAGACCACCAUUAAGGGCAACUGAAAAAAAAUACUGUACAUGUACUGUAUGGAAAAUAUUGUUACUUAGUCUUUCAAAUAGUAUAUAAAUUAUAUAUGGCAUGUGGUGUAUACACAUGCAGUAGUACAUUAUAACUGUGAAAAAACACACACGCACAACUGACAAAUGUGUCAGCAAACCAUUUUCUCUGAAGUUGUAAGCAACACAGUGCCUUCAACAGUGUUUCACAACUGUGACAUGUUGACACUUCAUUUCCACAUAUUUCCUGAGAGCUAACUUUGCACUUAUCUUCCUUGUUUCAACUUCCCCCUCCGUUGCAGCACUGACAAAGUGGUCAAAUUUUCUGUCUUGUGCACAGUUUAAUCAUCACAGGAAGAAAGAGGAGCCCUGCACUUGGUCUCAUGAUCAGGUUACAGCCCGAGCAGUAGGAAAAUGUAUCAUCGUGUGUGAAUAGAUAUAUAUUUAGGGUUUUUUUUUCUCCUGUCUUUUUAGUAUCACAAUUGUGUGUAGAUCUGACUGUUAUCUUUUAUCUGUUACCAACUUCUUAUCUAUUUCAUUUACAGAUGUCCUCACCAGUAUUGUUGGAGCAUCAGGCCUCCCACUUAGUGUAUUUGACAAGCUGAGUUAGACACUGUGCAUGAGUUGAGUGUCAGUUUGUCAAAUACCCUAAGUGAGGGGUCACUUUUCUUCUCAGCAGAGUGGACCACCACCAAAUGACCCUGACCGUUUCAAGUCUUAUGGUGAAACGCAACAGAAGGCAGGAUUGAAGCUAAAGACAUGCACAGAGACCAGUGAGGGGACAAGGACACAAAAUGUCAGGAAGCAGAGCAGAGGAGUCCCAUCGACUGAACAACUGAUAAAAGGGGGAACAGAAGGAAUACCGUCCUGUAUACCGCUUUAAUCAGGAGCAAAUGGAGCUCCUCUUACUGCGACCAUCUCAGUUUAGGAGGAGUUUGUGACUCCUGCGUUUCUCCCACUACCUUCUACCUAACUUGUGCUGAGCAUGAAAACUAACAGAGACUCAUGAA